rnacentral:rRNA from 1 species
AUGCUAGUUCAUGGCAAUCAAACCGGCUUCAUUUCUGGUAGAAACAUCGUUGAAAACUUUGUCUUCACAACCGAUCUCGUUAGCUCUUGCCACUCUCGCAAAAAAACUACCAUGGUAUUCAAGUUGGACUUCCGAAAAGCUUUCGACUCUGUCGCAUGUCCUGCUCUACAAAAAAUUCUAGCAGUACGGGGUUUCUCGUCCGCCUUCCGCCGGUGGAUCCAAAACAUCCUCCUCACCGGCAAAACGGCCAUUCUCCUGAACGGGGUUCAGGGCAAAUGGAUCCAAUGCAAAAAUGGUUUGAGGCAGGGCGACCCAGUCUCUCCCUACCUCUUUCUUAUCAUCGCCGAUCUCCUUCAACAGCUCAUC